GAUCCUGGGCUCAGGACGAACGCUGGCGGCGUGCUUAACACAUGCAAGUCGAACGGAAAGGCCCUGCUUUUGUGGGGUGCUCGAGUGGCGAACGGGUGAGUAACACGUGAGUAACCUGCCCUUGACUUUGGGAUAACUUCAGGAAACUGGGGCUAAUACCGGAUAGGAGCUCCUGCUGCAUGGUGGGGGUUGGAAAGUUUCGGCGGUUGGGGAUGGACUCGCGGCUUAUCAGCUUGUUGGUGGGGUAGUGGCUUACCAAGG
rnacentral:rRNA from 1 species